rnacentral:tRNA from 1 species
AUUUUUAUAGUAUAUUUAGUAUAUAUGACUUCCAAUCAUAAGGACUAUAUAAUUAGUAAAAAUA